CCAGUGAAUGUACUGGGGAUUUAAAUCAAUUCAAACGAAUCCUAACCACAAAGUGAGUUUGAGUUUUAUAAAUGGAAGAGUAUGAUUUCAUAAAAAUUCUUAUUGUUGUUUCCUUUUUCUCUAAGAAUAAAAUAAUGUACAUUUGUACUUUCUAAUACUUGCAUUUAAUGAUCAACGAAGCUUAUUAAAAUACAAACUACGCUUUUAGUUCCUACAAUUACAUGUACCUCAAAGAAAAUGGUAUAUCUGUUGAAAUGCAAGAAAAACGUGGAAGUUCUAAUUUCCUCAAAGUUUUGCCGGCCAACCAAAGCAUUGUAUAAAAGGAGAUAGGUAGAUCUAUAUAAAAAUAAAUAGUGAAAAAAAAAAAGAAA